UACGUAGGGUGCUAGCGUUGUCCGGAUUUAUUGGGCGUAAAGGGCUCGUAGGCGGUCUGUCGCGUCGGCUGUGAAAACCCGGAGCUCAACUCCGGGCCUGCAGUCGAUACGGGCAGACUGGAGUUCGGCAGGGGAGACUGGAAUUCCUGGUGUAGCGGUGAAAUGCGCAGAUAUCAGGAGGAACACCGGUGGCGAAGGCGGGUCUCUGGGCCGAUACUGACGCUGAGGAGCGAAAGCGUGGGGAGCGAACAGG
rnacentral:rRNA from 1 species